ensembl:lncRNA
GCUUGAAAGACAGCGACUUUUGAUAAAACUGGCCUUGUAGCACAUUGUCUAGCUUACAACGAUGGGAAAGAGGCAUUGUUUAUGAUUUUACAACGUAUAUCUCAUGAGUUAUUGAUGCCGGAAGUCCGAAUCUGUGAAUAUCUUGCCAACUUUACCUAACUCAAGUGUGGAGCCAAACGACAACAAGAUUCUCAGAGGGCGGAGCCAGAGAGCAGUGAUUGGUCAGACCAUAGACGUAUAGAAGACAACGCGCUAGCGGAUGUAGUCUGCUAUAUAUGUCUAUGGUCGGAACGUCUGGUAGCAUCUCUGGCUGCUGUUGACCUUGUUUUUGGAGUAAAACAUGGUGGAAGCUGAAUUAGUGAGGAUGACUCCUGCUCCUGUCAUCUCUAAGCUCCUCACACAUCUUUUACCUGCACAUGAGGAAAAUCACUCCUGUAGAAUGCAGAUGUUCAGAGGGAGAUGAUGCCACAUCUGGUCCAGCUGAUGGAAGGUCUUGAAGUUCUCUGACUGGCCUCGACUGAAGAUGGUCGUCUCACUGGAUUUAAGGUUCAGAUGCUCAGUAACAAACUCCACCAAUGAGCCAACAGGGAAGCUUUAGGUUUAUUAAAUGUUGCUAUGAAGAUGCACAAUGAGGGACGUCUGCAGAGACUGAGAAAGAGUCUCACCACAUCCUGACAUGAGGAAAAAGACUUUAUUGAAGACUACAAUGAGAAAAACUAUCAGACAGCAGACGGCUGCAUUCAAGUCUGUAGCUGCUGAAUUCAUGGAUGAAUCAUCUGGCACUAGAGAGGAAGACCAUCAAACAUCCACGUCAGCUGAUGGAGGUCCAAGAGUCUCACCCAACAAACAACCUACAGAGUGACCUAGAGCUGUUAGAUUGUUCCAGAUAAGACAAGUACAAGAUUCUUCAGAGCCGUUCUACCAUGAGCCUGACAGGAAGAACUCCUCCAGCUACUGAAUGUUCCUGUGGUCCCCUCAAGGCUACAGGAGGAGUCCUACAAGGACGAGCUGGUCCACCUGAUGGCGGCCAGUCGCUGCGGUUCAAAGCCAACACCGACUACGUGGACUUCUACUGGACCACACGGAGGCCUUCAAACCGGACCAACAAGUUCAGCGACUCCCCGACUCGUGGGUCUGAGGACGCCGCCGAGCCUCGGCCCAGCCGGCCUCCUGUCUGUGGGUGUUUGAGUGCUGAGAGGUUUGUGGAUGCAUGUGAAAGUUCUGUGUUGAAACAGCAGCUUUGGACUCAGUAACGCCAGGAAAAGCCAAGAGCUCCUUUAUUUGUGACUUCCACUAAAAAAACUGAUGAAAAUAAGUUUGCCAGGGUUCUGACUGAUAACAGAUUAUUAAAUAAUGAAAAUAAUAGUUUAAAUACUCCUUUAAACAAUCCUUUUCGGUCUACAUUUCCUUGACACUGACUUCAUGGUAUAUGUACAAGUAUUUUGGGUGGAAUAUACCAAUAAGCCCAAUGUUCAAGGGUUCUUCUGGGAAUAUACCAUUAAACCAGCCUUUUAGGUAAAUGUUCCAAGAUGUUGGGUAGAAUAUACCAUCAGAUAAACCUUUUAGGUCUACAUUGGAAGAUUUUAGAGUAGAAUAUUACUCCAAACCAUCCUUUAUGUCUACAUUUAAGGUGGAAUACUCCUUUACACCAUGAUUUUUUGGUCUACAUUGAAGGAUUUUAGGUGGAAUAUUCCUUUGAACGAACUUUCUAAGUUUCUGUUCAAGGAUGUUGGGUGGAAUAUACCAUCAGACCAACCUCCAAGGUCUACAGUAGUGAAUUUUAGGUAGAAUAUACCAUUAAACUCACCUUUUAGGUCUACAUUGGAGGAUUUUAGGUGGAAUUUCUUUUAAACCGUCUUUUAGUCUACAUUUAAGGAUGUUUAGGAUGGUAUAUUCUUCCAAACCAACUUCUCAGGUCUACAUUUCAGGUGGAAUAUUCCUCCAUACUAACUUUUUUGGUCUACAUUGAAGGAUUUUUUCUAAACCACCCUUUCGGGUCUAUAUUUGAGGUUUUAGGUGGAAUAUUCCUUUUAACCAGCCCCUCAGCUCUCUGAGGAUUUUGGAUGAAAUACUCAGUUAAACCAACAUUUUAGGUGCAUGUCCAAGGAUUUUUGGUGGAAUGUUCCUUUAAUGUGGAUGUUUGAGGACCUUGUCGGUGGAAUACUUCCUGAAACCAAACUUUUAGGUCAACAUCCAAAGAUUUAAGGUGGAAUAUUCCUUUAAACCAACCUAAAUUUCAUGUUUUAAUCAUUAUCAAGCGAGAAACCUCAAUCCAGACUCCUCAUAAUGAUGUUUGAGAUUUAUGCUGCUGUUAUUUGUUUAGUCCAGUCUAAAUGACAGAAAUCUACAACUGUAAUUUUAUUUCAGGACUCAGUUAUUAAAUGUCAAAACAAUCCAUGUGACUCUAAAAACUCAACAGCUUUACAAACUCUAAGAUUAAACUCUCCACAAGGAUCCAAAAUAAGUUGGACUUCUACAUGAGAGCUUUAAUUAUUCUUCAUCUACUUCCUGAAAAGUUUGGUCAAUAAAAAAGACAAAAACCAAUAUUUUCAGCUGAACUAAAGACAGAUUUUGUGAUUUUUCUGCUCACAUGUUGUGUUGUUGUAAACUUCCUCUUUCAAAUAAAUAUCCUCCUAACCCCCUGGA